rnacentral:SRP_RNA from 1 species
GCAGGAAGUCUGGGUAGACGUAGUCCCUGCUUAUCCGGUCAGGUCCGAGAGGAAGCAGCCACAGUAGGUUUCAUACGGGUUGCCCAGUCUUCCGCUAAA